AGGUCAGGAUGAGUGGCAAUAAUGUUCGUAUAAAGUCAUAUUGCACUCGUCCCGGCCUAU
rnacentral:pre_miRNA from 1 species